rnacentral:tRNA from 2 species
GGCCGCUUAGCCCAACGGCAGAGGCAGUCGAUUUAAAAUCGACCAAGUGCGGGUUCGAGUCCCGCAGCGGCCA